rnacentral:lncRNA from 1 species
CUGCAGUCAGCCCCCGUUGUGUACCAAUACCACAAGGUUGGACUGGGGAUGCAUGACUGAGCAAUCAGCUAAGUGAACUCUGCAGCCUGCUUCUGCCUUCCUGAAGCACUCCAUGGAAUUCACAGGAGCUUGGUUGUGCAAGAAAAACUGCCCUGGGCUCUGGGCAAUUUAGAUGGGGAGAAGUCUAAAAUUUGGGAAUCAGAGAUCUGUCCUGACUGGAUGUUAUCCAUAUAACAUUUGUUUGUGAUGGUGGACGCAAUUACCAGUGACAGCAGAAUUCGACCUACUAAAUCUGUUGUUACCCAUGUCUCACCUAGAAAACACCCAUUAUCAUUAGGGAGUUUGCCUUUCACACAGGGAUGCUAUCCCUUUGAUUCCUCUCUUCAAAGGAGCAUUGCAAACAACUCUUUAAUGCACUGCCACUUCUAACCAUUUAAGAGCCAUUUUCCUUCUCCUGCUAACCUGCAAUCUGCCUAAAUAUCAACAGUAGUCACCAGAAGCAGAAACUGCACAAGAUUCCUUUGCACUCAGACUCUUCUCCGGGAUGCUGAUACCCCGCUACUUCUCCCUGUCCACAGGAUCUGACAGACAGGAUUUGCUGCCUUGCAACAGAGCUGCAACGACAGAGCCUUGGAGCCAGCCUACUUCAAGAGUUUAGCAGCUGGAAUUUCACCUGCCUGUAUAGAACAGGGUCUUGGAUGGACUUUCUUGUUGCUGUAUGUGACAUUCGCUUGUCCUUUUCACAUCUGUCACAGCCUGUUGCCAGCUCCUUGACAUUAUGGAGGAUACAGGGAAUCUUCAGGCAGGACAUGAAGGAGUCAGCCUGCUGUUCUCCACAGAUGUCACAUCAGCCAUGCUUUCUCCAUCUGGAAAAGCUCCUGGAGUUCCCCCAAGAACAUUCCUGCUGCUGGAGACCACAGGGAUUUCCUUGGUUGCGGAAGUCAUGUUUGGGGACGCCUACUUUUGGCCUGUUAAGCAAAGGAACUAAGAGGCUGGCAUUUCCACAUUCUCAAGAAUCCCAGGUCUCUAGGCCCAGCAGCCAGAUCCCAGCAGCAGACAUGAUGUUGCAAAUGAAGAGAUCUGCUGUUUACCAAUGAGGUCCAGGGGAAGGGAGAUGCUGAAAACACAACAUGGUGCUCAAAAAAUACCACAGCAGGGCUGCUUGAGCCUGCCAAGGCAGUACUGACCUGUUCAGUGCAGCAUAAGAUGAGGGUGGCGUGGGGAGACUGGAGCCAAACACCAAUCUCCAUGAGAAGUCAUCCUGGGGAAGAAACAAAACUUUUAACCUCUAACACUUGCCCACUUUGCCUGUAAAGCCAGAAUAAAUAUGUACUUGGACUAAAAUGAACA